AUGGAGGCGGCCGAUCUCGCCGCGGACGGCCGCAUCAUCAAGGCCGACUUCACCGACGCCGGCGCCUACCAGCUCCGGGAGCGCAUGCGGGAGAAGCUCCGUGAGUUCGAGGGCAGCGCCGAAGACUCCAUCGCGGACUACGUUAUUGUGCUUCUCAGGAAUGGAAAACGCAAGGACCAGGCCAGGAAGGCGCUCUAUAUUUUAUUAGGAGUUGAUGAUAGUGCAUUGUUUAUUUCAUGGCUGUGGGAUCAUCUAUCUUUAAAUUUGCACUUGUAUGUGCAAACACAAGAGCAGGAGGUGGAAAACAAGGACGAUGAAAUCCCAAAAGAACUAUCUGGAAGACAUAAAUCACCUGAGGUGCACGCGAGAAGAGAUCAAAUGCCUCUUGAGCACACAAGUGAAUCAAAUACGACCAUCAGGAGUCGGAAUAAGAGGGAUUGGAAAGGAACUGGCAGGGAGAGUAACAGAAACUUUCCACUUCGAAGUGUACUAACGGAUAUUUUGCACGGAGAAGAGAAAAAGCUGCAAAAGUCUACUGAAAUACGACAGCCUCCAUCAUCUAAUCAACGGAAUGGCAGAAAGCGUGAUCGGGAGGAUGAACCACAACAAACAAAGAGAGAACUGCCUUCUCGUCCGGUGCUUGGUGCUUCCCGUCGUCUUCUGCAGUUCGCCGUUCGAGAUGCUGUAAAAGCUGUACAGCAAACCAGCAGCUCUACGGAGCCAUCUUCUAAGCGCCUACGCUCUGUUGUUUCCACGGUAUCCACAGACAACCAGCAUGGUAAAAUGUCACAAAGAUCUACAGACAGCCUACAUGACAGGAGAUCAGAGAGAGCUACAGACAGCCUGCAUGACAGGAGAUCAGAAAGAUCUGCAGACAACCCAAAUGAUAAAAGAGUAGAAAGAAAAAGGCAAAUUCUACAAGUACCUGGAGCUGCUUUAGCUCUUAGAGCUGCUGCAGAGGCUGCUGCAGACUCUUCCAAAGCAAGAUCUACUGGAAGUGUGUUCAGUAGAUUGGGUCAAGGGAAUUCUGUGAAUAAACCAUCUCGUUCUCGUGAAGAGAAGAGAGGCUAUGAUGAUUUUGAACCAGCUACAACGUUAGAAGAUCACGACUCUGAUCAGCAUGAUAAUGACGAGCAGAUAUCUGGAGACCUGGAGAUAGCAGACGGGGAAGAUGAAAUGAAUGUUGAUACUACCUCUGAUGAGGAUGCGGACAUAGAUGAUGAAAUGACUAGAUACCAAAGUUCUGAUUCACAUGUUGUGGAGAAGAAAUAUACAUUGACAAAAUGCAGCGCUGAACCUGAGACCAAUAAAACAAAGCAUUCUAGUUUGAGUUAUGAGGAGCAACCUGUUUCUUCGGCACCAAUAAGAGCAAGCAAAACUGUUGCUGUUCCAGUUAACCCCAUUUCCGUGGAACCUCCAAAUUUUGGAACACCAAAAGAUGUUCAUGUUGUGGAGAAGCCGGACAUCACACCCAUGAAUGCUAAUGUUGCCUCUCCAGCUAUUAAUGUCAAAGAAUUAGGUCAUGGAGAAGUCCAAAAGGAUUCACAGCGGUCUGCAACAUCUGUUUCUAGUUCAUAUAGCACUGCCCAUCCCACAGAAGAUGCGGAUUCAAGGACCCUCUAUGUUAGCAAUGUUCACUUUGCUGCCACCAAGGACUCGCUGUCUCGCCAUUUCAACAAGUUUGGUGCAGUGCUGAAAGUAGUCAUUGUUACUAAUGCUGCAACUGGGCAGCCAACAGGGUCCGCCUAUGUCGAGUUUUUACACACAGAGUCGGCUGAAAGAGCUCUGUCAUUGAAUGGCACAUCAUUUAUGACGCGCAUUCUAAAGGUCGUGAGGCGAAGCUCCCAUGAAGCUGCUCACUUUUAUGGUUGGCCUGGUAGUGGUCGAUCAUCAUAUGCUAGGGGUAGGAUGGCAUACCCAAGGGGUGUUCUCCCUGGUAGCUCAUUUAGAGGGCGUACUCCGAUGAAAGCAGGUGCCAGAAGUUUUCAGUGGAAACGUGAGCCUUCAGGCACCGAGUCAAAUGCAGGUGCAAAACCCGACAUGAGUGUGGCAUUGGCUUCAGCUGAGCAGGUGCUUCCACCAGCCACAUAG
rnacentral:rRNA from 1 species